GAUUCGGAUCGGGUCUAACCAGAUCGGAUCAGAUCGGAUCACGGAUCAACCCGAUCUAUUUGCAGCCUUAAGAGGGAUUAGUUGCAGGUAGUGAGGUGUUGGGUGCCCACGUGGGACUACAACUCUUAAAAGAAAAAGAAGAAGAAGAAGAGUUUUUUUUUGGACUCAUAUUAGUGGCCUAUUUAAUUGGGGACAAUAGAGGGAGCAUAAAAAUAUCAGCUGAGGAGUGGAAACUAGCACGGCAUGAAAAAGUGAGUGCGGAAGGAGAAAGUGGCGAAGGGGAGGAAGAAGAAAAAAUAAGAGGAUCUGAUACAACUUUGUGAGAUAGUUAGAUAGUUGAUUGUAUUUUAAUUUUGAUGAAAUUUUAGUAUAUUAUUUUUGACAUCGAGAGCUAUAAGUUAAAUGAUUUUGAUCUUUAAAAUGUCUUCUCUAAUAAUUAUUUCAAGUAUCUAUACAUUUGGUA
rnacentral:lncRNA from 1 species